rnacentral:rRNA from 1 species
GACGAACGCUGGCGGCGUGCUUAACACAUGCAAGUCGAACGGAAAGGCCCUGCUUUUGUGGGGUGCUCGAGUGGCGAACGGGUGAGUAACACGUGAGUAACCUGCCCUUGACUUUGGGAUAACUUCAGGAAACUGGGGCUAAUACCGGAUAGGAGCUCCUGCUGCAUGGUGGGGGUUGGAAAAUUCCGGCGGUGGGGGAUGGACUCGCGGCUUAUCAGCUGGUUGGUGGGGUAGGGGCUUACAAGGCUUUGGACGGUUAGCCGGCCUAGGAGGGUGACCGGCCACAUUGGGACUGAGGUACGGCCCAGACUCCUACGGGAGGCAGCAGUGGGGAAUAUUGCACAAUGGGCGGAAGCCUGAUGCAGCAACGCCGCGUGCGGGAUGACGGCCUUCGGGUUGUAAACCGCUUUCGCCUGUGACGAAGCGUGAGUGACGGUAAUGGGUAAAGAAGCACCGGCUAACUACGUG